CUGCAAAAUUAGGGGGUCGUCUUAUACACCCAGUCAUUUUAUACGCUGGCAAAUACCGUAUAGGGGCAGUGCGACCUGGUAAUGAGUGUGUGAGCAUGAGUGUGAGUGUGAGUGAGUGUGCAAGGCGAGUGUGUGUGCCCACCCCAGAGACCCUCCCCUGCCUUCACCUUGAUCUUAUUUGAUGAAUCGAACCCCCACCUCCUAGACCCACCCUGUUCAACCUGAGAUGAGAAAAACUUCCCUUCUGCGAAGUCCCCCUGCUUGGGCCCUGUGUAGUGAGGCCUUCCUGGAGGUGGUGGCAUCUAGUUUGGUCCGGCCCAGAGUCAGUUCCAAGGGGUCCAGUGCUCGGAUGUGAUGAAUUGAUCAGAGAGAUGAGGCCGUAGGUACACCCCGGGGGCACUGAUUUAUCAAAGGCAAUUUUGAUCUGA